GGCGCUGUGGCUUUGUUGGUAAAAGCGCCUGUCUAGUAAACAGGAGAUCCUAAAUUCAAAUCUCAGCUGAGCAG
rnacentral:tRNA from 1 species